UAAUGGCUGCAAGACGCAAGGUUUAGCCAAUCCCAUAAAUCUGUUCUCAGUUCGGAUCGCAGUCUGCAACUCGACUGCGUGAAGCUGGAAUCGCUAGUAAUCGCGGAUCAGCAUGCCGCGGUGAAUACGUUCCCGGGCCUUGUACACACCGCCCGUCACACCACGAGAGUUUGCAACACCCGAAGUCGGUGAGGUAACCUUUAUGGAGCCAGCCGCCGAAGGUGGGGCAGAUGAUUGGGGGG
rnacentral:rRNA from 1 species